rnacentral:rRNA from 1 species
UAGCGUAAGGGUGCAAGCCGUUGUCCGGAAUUAUUGGGCGUAAAGAGCUCGUAGGCGGUUUGUCGCGUCUGCUGUGAAAACCCGAGGCUCAACCUCGGGCCUGCAGUGGGUACGGGCAGACUAGAGUGCGGUAGGGGAGAUUGGAAUUCCUGGUGUAGCGGUGGAAUGCGCAGAUAUCAGGAGGAACACCAAUGGCGAAGGCAGAUCUCUGGGCCGUAACUGACGCUGAGGAGCGAAAGCAUGGGGAGCGAACAGG